rnacentral:lncRNA from 1 species
UACGUAUCAUAACAUCAAUUUUAAAGAUGAUUCAAGGAUACACAACACUUGAAUAAAAAUUAAAAACUUAUCUUUUAUUGAUUAAAUCAAUAGUUUAAGUAAAUAUAUGUCAUAGAACAAAAAUGUGUCAGCCAACAAUUGGCUUCUAGGAUAUACAUCUAACACUCCAAUCACCUCAAACCUUUUCAAGGUUUAAGAUGCAUCGACGAAGGUCACUGAAGGAUAGAGGAAUAGCAGAGAAUCACCU